rnacentral:rRNA from 1 species
GACGAACGCUGGCGGCGUGCCUAAUACAUGCAAGUCGAGCGGAAUGAUGAAGAAGCUUGCUUCUUCUGAUUUAGCGGCGGACGGGUGAGUAACACGUGGGCAACCUACCUUGUAGAUUGGGAUAACUCCGGGAAACCGGGGCUAAUACCGAAUAAUCCAUUUUGCUUCAUGGCGAGAUGUUAAAAGGCGGCUUCGGCUGUCACUACGAGAUGGGCCCGCGGCGCAUUAGCUAGUUGGUAGGGUAAUGGCCUACCAAGGCGACGAUGCGUAGCCGACCUGAGAGGGUGAUCGGCCACACUGGGACUGAGACACGGCCCAGACUCCUACGGGAGGCAGCAGUAGGGAAUCUUCCACAAUGGACGAAAGCCUGAUGGAGCAACGCCGCGUGAGUGAAGAAGGUUUUCGAAUCGUAAAACUCUGUUGUAAGGGAAGAACACGUACGAGAGUAACUGCUCGUACCUUGACGGUACCUUAUUAGAAAGCCACGGCUAACUACGUG